UACAGAGGUCUCAAGCGUUGUUCGGAUUCAUUGGGCGUAAAGGGUGCGUAGGCGGCGCGGUAAGUCGGGUAUGAAAUCUUGGAGCUUAACUCCGAAACUGCAUUCGAUACUGCCGUGCUUGAGGACUGGAGAGGAGACUGGAAUUUACGGUGUAGCGGUGAAAUGCGUAGAUAUCGUAAGGAAGACCAGUGGCGAAGGCGGGUCUCUGGACAGUUCCUGACGCUGAGGCACGAAGGCCAGGGGAGCAAACGGGAUUAGAACCGAC
rnacentral:rRNA from 1 species